rnacentral:rRNA from 1 species
AACGAACGCUGGCGGCAUGCCUAACACAUGCAAGUCGAACGAGACCUUCGGGUCUAGUGGCGCACGGGUGCGUAACGCGUGGGAACCUGCCUUUAGGUUCGGAAUAACUCAGAGAAAUUUGAGCUAAUACCGGAUGAUGUCUUCGGACCAAAGAUUUAUCGCCUUUAGAUGGGCCCGCGUUGGAUUAGCUAGUUGGUGGGGUAAAGGCCUACCAAGGCGACGAUCCAUAGCUGGUCUGAGAGGAUGAUCAGCCACACUGGGACUGAGACACGGCCCAGACUCCUACGGGGGGCAGCAGUGGGGAAUAUUGGACAAUGGGCGAAAGCCUGAUCCAGCAAUGCCGCGUGAGUGAUGGAGGCCUUAGGGUUGUAAAGCUCUUUUACCCGAGAUGAUAAUGACAGUAUCGGGAGAAUAAGCUCCGGCUAACUCCGUG